GAACUAUAGAGUUUGAUCCUGGCUCAGAUUGAACGCUGGCGGCAUGCCUUACACAUGCAAGUCGAACGGCAGCACGGGAGCAAUCCUGGUGGCGAGUGGCGAACGGGUGAGUAAUAUAUCGGAACGUAUCCAAUAAUGGGGGAUAACUAAUCGAAAGGUUGGCUAAUACCGCAUACGCCCUACGGGGGAAAGCUAGGGACCUUCGGGCCUGGCGUUAAUGGAGCGGCCGAUAUCUGAUUAGCUAGUUGGUGGGGUAAAGGCCCACCAAGGCGACGAUCAGUAGCUGGUCUGAGAGGACGACCAGCCACACUGGAACUGAGACACGGUCCAGACUCCUACGGGAGGCAG
rnacentral:rRNA from 1 species